rnacentral:rRNA from 1 species
CCUACGGGAGGCAGCAGUGGGGAAUCUUGCGCAAUGGGCGAAAGCCUGACGCAGCAACGCCGCGUGCGGGAUGAAGGCCUUCGUGGUUGUAAACCGCUUUCAGCAGGGACGAAAAUGACGGUACCUGCAGAAGAAGCCCCGGCUAACUACGUGCCAGCAGCCGCGGUAAUACGUAGGGGGCAAGCGUUGUCCGGAAUCAUUGGGCGUAAAGAGCUCGUAGGCGGUUCAGUAAGUCAGGUGUGAAAGCUCCGAGCUCAACUCGGAGAGGCCACCUGAUACUGCUGUGACUAGAAUCCAGUAGGGGAGUGUGGAACUCCUGGUGUAGCGGUGAAAUGCGCAGAUAUCAGGAAGAACACCAGCGGCGAAGGCGGCACUCUGGGCUGGAAUUGACGCUGAGGAGCGAAAGUGUGGGUAGCAAACAGGAUUAGAUACCCUGGUAGUCCACACCGUAAACGUUGGGCACUAGGUGUGGGGAGGAUCAACCCUUUCCGUGCCGUAGCUAACGCAUUAAGUGCCCCGCCUGGGGAGUACGGCCGCAAGGCUAAAACUCAAAGGAAUUGACGG